UACGGAGGGGGCUAGCGUUGUCCGGAGUCACUGGGCGUAAAGCGCGCGUAGGCGGCCUGUUAAGUUGGGUGUGAAAGCCCGGGGCUCAACCCCGGAUGCGCAUCCGAGACUGGCAGGCUGGAGUCCGGGAGAGGGCGGCGGAAUUCCCAGUGUAGAGGUGAAAUUCGUAGAUAUUGGGAAGAACACCGGUGGCGAAGGCGGCCGCCUGGCCCGGAACUGACGCUGAGGCGCGAAAGCGUGGGGAGCAAACAGG
rnacentral:rRNA from 1 species